rnacentral:tRNA from 1 species
AAGGAUUUAAGUUAAUAACCAAACUAAUAGCCUUCAAAGCUGUCAAUAGAACUUUAAAUCUAAGCCUUA